rnacentral:miRNA from 10 species
CCAGGGAGCCUGUUAGAAUGUGGGUUCCUGGACUCCACCCCAAGCCUCCUGAACCAGACUCUCUAAGUUUGGAGUUUAGGAAUCUGCAUUUUUACACCCCCUCCC